GGCGCUAUAGUGUAGUGGUUAUCACUCGGGAUUUUGAAGUGCGACAAACAAUUGCCUAGAAAUUUCCCGAAACCCAGGUUCGAACCCUGGUAGAGCCU